rnacentral:rRNA from 1 species
AGAUACCAUCAACCACACUGAACCCUUAUUUCAUAAUGAAUGACUCCAUAUUACUAUGGAAGACACCAUGUUGGGAUUAGUAACAAGAAAACAUUCUCCAAAAUGCAAGCAUAAACCAGAAAGGACAGACCACUGGUAAUUAUCGAACUUGAA